UUCCUUGGCGGUCCAGUGGUAGGAUGCAGCGCUUUCACUGCCGUGGCUUGGGUUCAAUUCCCAGUUGGGAAA
rfam:TPA: Bos taurus chromosome 10, whole genome shotgun sequence.